rnacentral:lncRNA from 1 species
GAGCAAGCAUUUAAGAAAAUGCAAGCUGUCUUUCCAACACAAGAUUGUGUCUAGGAUUUUUGCAAAAUAUAAAGUUCACAGGCUGCCAGGUUUGGCAUAAUGUACAACACUUUUGCUUU